rnacentral:rRNA from 1 species
UACGGGGGGGGCAAGCGUUGUUCGGAAUUACUGGGCGUAAAGGGCUCGUAGGCGGCCAACUAAGUCGGAUGUGAAAGCCCACGGCUCAACCGUGGAGGGUCAUUGGAAACUGGGAGACUUGAGUGCAGAAGAGGAGAGUGGAAUUCCACGUGUAGCGGUGAAAUGCGUAGAGAUGUGGAGGAACACCAGUGGCGAAGGCGACUCUCUGGUCUGUAACUGACGCUGAGGCGCGAAAGCGUGGGGAGCAAACAGG